AUUGAACGCUGGCGGCAUGCUUAACACAUGUAAGUCGAACGGCAGCACAGUCUGUAGCAAUACAGAUGGGUGGCGAGUGGCGGACGGGUGAGUAACACGUGGGGAUCUGCCCUGAAGACUGGGACAACCCGAGGAAACUCGGGCUAAUACCGGAUGAUACUCUGAGGAGGAAAGGCUAGGUAGAAAUAUCUGGCGCUUUAGGAGGAACCUGCGUCCGAUUAGCUAGUUGGUUAGGUAAAAGCUGACCAAGGCGAUGAUCGGUAGCUGGUCUGAGAGGAUGAUCAGCCACACUGGGAGUGAGACACGGCACAGACUCCUACGGGAGGCAGCAGUGGGGAAUAUUGGACAAUGGGGGCAACCCUGAGCCAGCAAUGCCGCGUGUGUGAAGAAGGCCUUCGGGUUGUAAAGCACUUUAGUUGGGGAAGAAGUUGUGUUGUUUAAGAGAUGAUACAGUUGACGGUACCCAAAGAAUAAGCACCGGCUAACUCUGUGCCAGCCGCCGCCGUAA
rnacentral:rRNA from 1 species